AUUCUGAAUGAGUUCAUUGAUAGUCUGAGGCUCUUCAGUAUUAACAUCUGCUGAAAAGACUCCUUGAUUCAUAUCAGCUCUUCCCACAACAAUCAAGUCAUGAAGCUUUUCCUACAGUGAACACAUUUUCAAAGAAGCUUCUACCAGUAACAUUCCCAUCAGCCUACAAGUAUAGACGAGCAUCAAAGCAUCAGGAGGAGUGGAACUCUGCAAAAACUUGAGUUUAUUAAAGAGGAAAGAAAGAAGAUGGGAGAUCCAGAACCCUGCAGAAUGAAACACGCUGAAGAUAAUGAAGAACAAACAGAGCUAAUGGAAGAGAAUGAGGAGAGUGAAGAACUGAGUAAAGUGGAGGAGAAACAUCAUGUCAAACCUGGAGAAAAACCUCAGAGUCACUCAAAGACUAAAAAGCCAUUUUUAAAGAAAAGAAAAGCCAAAGAAUCUUUCACCUGCACUCAGUGUGGAAAGAGUUUUGCACACAAUCAAAGUCUUAAGCGUCACAUGAAUGU